rnacentral:rRNA from 1 species
UACGUAGGUGGCAAGCGUUAUCCGGAAUUAUUGGGCGUAAAGCGCGCGUAGGCGGUUUUUUAAGUCUGAUGUGAAAGCCCACGGCUCAACCGUGGAGGGUCAUUGGAAACUGAAAAACUUGAGUGCAGAAGAGGAAAGUGGAAUUCCAUGUGUAGCGGUGAAAUGCGCAGAGAUAUGGAGGAACUCCAGUGGCGAAGGCGACUUUCUGGUCUGUAACUGACGCUGAUGUGCGAAAGCGUGGGGAUCA